rnacentral:rRNA from 1 species
ACGUAGGGUGCAAGCGUUGUCCGGAAUUAUUGGGCGUAAAGAGCUCGUAGGCGGUUUGUCGCGUCGAAUGUGAAAACCCGGGGCUCAACCCCGGGCCUGCAUUCGAUACGGGCAGACUAGAGUUCGGUAGGGGAGUCUGGAAUUCCUGGUGUAGCGGUGAAAUGCGCAGAUAUCAGGAGGAACACCGGUGGCGAAGGCGGGACUCUGGGCCGAUACUGACGCUGAGGAGCGAAAGCGUGGGGAGCGAACAGGAUUAGAUACCCUGGUAGUCCACGCCGUAAACGUUGGGCGCUAGGUGUGGGGGUCCUUCCACGACCUCCGUGCCGCAGCUAACGCAUUAAGCGCCCCGCCUGGGGAGUACGGCCGCAAGGCUA